UAAUGCUGAAACCAUUUGACAUCAUUACACUGUCAAAUUUUUCAUGCCACUGUUUAGGAGGUUGUUUUAGUUCAUAUAGUGACUUCACAAGUUUAUAGACAUUGUGUUCUUGUCCUGGGACUACAAACCUUUCGGGUUGUUUCAUAUACAAUAGAACCUCUAUAAAUUAUUACUCUAUAAAUUAAUAACCUCUAUAAAUUAAUAAAUGUCCCGAGUUAGGAUCAGUGUAAAAAGUAAUACAAAUCGAUAAAUUAAUAAGAUUAUAAUUUUUCUGAAAGUCCUAUGUAAAUAUAUGGUCCCAUCAAUAUCAUAAAUUAAUAAUUGUAU
rnacentral:sRNA from 1 species